UAUUUUAAACAAUGUGCGGUGGUAGGGUCGCAGCGUGGAACAGGCGUAGCAGAAAAACUGAAAUUCGACGUUACUCUACGAUUUUAAUAAAACCGAAAACCUUUGUUAAAAUUUCAUAAGCUGAACACUUUUGCAAAAUUAUUUACUUUUGCUUGGCGUUUCCAAAUUCAAAUAAACACUCUAAAAGUAAUAAGAUCAGAAGCUGCUUGCUUCCACACAAAGUAAUUUGA